CUGCCACGUAAGCCUGCUGCUAGUCCUCACUCUGCCUCUCAGCGAGAAUUCUCUCGUACUGAGGAGAUAACCUCUGGACAAUGCUGUUACAACUCUGUUACAACCUCCACACAACGUCUCUCCGCUCCAAUGGACUGUCAUGGACAGACAACAGGAGUCUACCUGAAUCAACACUUCUCUGCUGGCAGAGGAAAGAUGAGAGAGGAGAGAGGAGAGAGGAGAGAGGAGAGAGGAGAGAGGAGAGAGGAGAGAGGAGAGAGAGGGAAAGAGGAGAGAGAGGGAGAGAGGGAGAGAGGGAAAGAGGAGAGAGGGGGAGAGGGAGAUAGAAGAGAGGGAGAGGGAGAGAGGGAGAGAGGGAGAGAGAAGAGAGGGAGACAGGGAGUUGGAGGGUGAAAAAGUGGAGGGUGAAGAGGGGACUUCUCUCCGGAGAGACGCCAAGAGGUGAAAGAGGGAGAGAGGAGACGGAGAGCGAGAGUCCAUUGACCAACCCAUCCAGAACCCUCAAAAUGGACUAGGACACAGGAAGGAAAACUCAGACUGCCGAUCACAACUCAUCACUUCUCCCUGACCUCAGCCAUUUACUCUCCCAUUUUCUUUCUCAGUCUCUUCUCCAGACAAGACCUCCCCUUCUUUCUACACUGGGCAGAAAUCCCUCUUCUCUCCUGAGCCCACAGGAUUGGUCAAAUAGCUAUUUUGGAUACAGGGCAGAUAACACAGUGAGUAGUGUGUAUGUUUAGGUGUGUUCAGUGUCUACGUGUGUGUUUGAGCGACUGUGUCUGCGUGUGUGCGCGUGAGUGAGUGUGUGCAUAUAGGUGUGUGUGUGUGUGUGUGUGUGUGUGUGUGUGUGUGUGUGUGUGUGUGUGUGUGUGUGUGUGUGUGUGUGUGUGUGUGUGUGUGUGUGUGUGUGUGUGUGUGUGUGUGUGUGUGUGUGUGUGUGUGUGUGUGCGUGUGUGUGUGUGUGUGUGUGUGUGUGUGUGUGUGCGUGUGUAUGUGCAGUAUGUGUGAGUGUUUACAUGUAUAUAUGUGUACCUCCUUCACCCUCCUCCCUCGUGGACCAGCAGCCCGCCCCGCCUGCCCAGUGUUCAGACUACCUGUUCAGGAAGUAGUGGUUGCACAGUAGUCUGCACAUUGGUUAGGCUGGGUGGGGAAGCGCAAGAAUCAGGACACAGAGAGACAGCUAGCCAGUGGGUGACAGCAGCCAAAAAGACAAUGGCACUACUCUGGGCAAGCCUGGCACAGCAUUAAGAAUCCGAACCACAGCCUCAACCACAGAAACAGGCCAUGCCCAACUAUAUACCUGUCUAGUACUGUUGUGUUCUGUUCUGAGUUGAUGACUGACUGUAUGUCCUGAGAAAUUGAAAUACAGUUUUUUUGAAGAUCAGUCUGAGCCUACUUAGUGUCUAAGACGUCUGCCAGGUCGAAUCCAGAAAUGGUACUUUGUAUUUUGUAAAUAUUGUCAUGGGCAAGAAUUAAAACUUCAGAUUUCAACUUUGCAUAAGACUGUACAUGCUAUAUAAUUAAAAUGUUACGGUUGAAUGGGAAACACUGGUAUUGGUAAUGAACAUCGAUAUACUAAAGAUGGCUUCUACUGGAGUGGUUAUAUUUGUAUGAAGAACCCAAAAUAUUCCAACCACAGGAGGGUGACUAAGAUACAGCAUACAGGAGGGUGACUAAGAUACAGCAUAGAGGAGGGUGACUAAGAUACAGCAUAGAGGAGGGUGACUAAGAUACAGCAUACAGGAGGGUGACUAAGAUACAGCAUACAGGAGGGUGACUAAGAUACAGCAUACAGGAGGGUGACUAAGAUACAGCAUACAGGAGGGUGACUAAGAUACAGCAUACAGGAGGGUGACUAAGAUGCAGCACAGGAGGAUGACUAAGAUACAGCAUACAGGAGGGUGACUAAGAUACAGCAUACAGGAGGGUGACUAAGAUACAGCAUACAGGAGGGGGACUAAGAUACAGCAUACAGGAGGGUGACUAAGAUACAGCAUACAGGAGGGUGACUAAGAUGCAGCACACAGGAGGAUGACUAAGAUACAGCAUACAGGAGGGUGACUAAGAUACAGCAUACAGGAGGGUGACUAAGAUACAGCAUACAGGAGGGUGACUAAGAUACAGCAUACAGGAGGGUGACUGAGAUACAGCAUACAGGAAGGUGACUGAAGAUACAGCAUACAGGAAGGUGCUUAAGAUACAGCAUACAGGAGGGUGACUAAGAUACAGCAUACAGGAGGGUGACUAAAAUACAGCAUACAGGAGGAUGACUAAGAUACAGAAUAAAGGAGGGUGACUAAGAUACAGCAUACAGGAGGGUGACUAAGAUACAGCAUACAGGAGGGUGACUAAAAUACAGCAUACAGGAGGAUGAAUGACCAUAGAUUGUUAACCAAAAGUGUAACUGCUGCUCUAUGCUAAACAGAAGCUUACAAUUAAGUCACAUCCUGAGCAACAUAAAUAAAUGGUGGUUGUCUCACGCUGACCAAUUGGCAGACUACCUCCAAGAAAGCUCCGUCUAAAGUCCCUGACAUGAAAUAAAACACUUGAACAUA